GUACCAGCAGCGGCACGGUCAGUGGCCAGGGGCUUAACGACUCGACCGCCGUCAGGUGGCGCUCCAGACACAGCAGUGGCACGCUCUCUUCGUGAGUGACUACUGCCGGCAGCAGGGAAGCGUGGCCAGGAGGCAGCACAGCAGGGAGCGACUGUGGGGAGUCCUGCAGGGGAGGCCGACACUCGGACAACGGCCCGGCGGUCCUACAGGCUGGGCUGCAAACUGCCGGCGGCUCGAUAAAGAAGCGUUCUGUCAACAGAUACCUGACGCCGAUGUACUGUCGCUAUCUGGAGCCUCCAGCGAUAAGAUUACCUGCUGUCUGGAGAGUCCUUGAAAAGCGACGAGAUAGUUAGGAUUCCACACCGCUGUACGUCUUGCCUGAACGGUUACAGCGCGAGAAAAGUCAUAUCCAGGGAGCUCCAGACGCAGUGUUACACCCUCUGGCUGCCCCACGGCUUGCUGGAAGUCGACUGGAUUCCAGCUGUGGCGUCGCGUGUCCACAGUGGACACCGCCUUGUCAUCAUCUCCUGCAGGACUUGAUGCAGCCGUGGUCUGCACUUCUGGAUGCACUGUACGUACAGCGCAUACUGCACGUUUCUCCAAAUGUACUGAAACAGUGAAAUGCAUUUGAUUCCGAAAGAUAACAAAAAAGCAAUGGCUUAUAUCAGUCUGCUUCUAAUCACUGUACAUAUUCUU